rnacentral:rRNA from 1 species
GACGAACGCUGGCGGCGUGCUUAACACAUGCAAGUCGAACGGUGAAGCGCCUUCCUUUUUGGUGGGUGUGGAUGAGUGGCGAACGGGUGAGUAACACGUGAGUAACCUGCCCCCUUCUUCUGGAUAACCGCAUGAAAGUGUGGCUAAUACGGGAUAUUCUGGGUCUGUCGCAUGAUGGGUCUGGGAAAGAUAUUGUUUCGGUGGGGGAUGGGCUCGCGGCCUAUCAGCUUGUUGGUGGGGUGAUGGCCUACCAAGGCGGUGACGGGUAGCCGGCCUGAGAGGGUGGACGGUCGCACUGGGGCUGGGCCACGGCCCGGACUCCUACGGGAGGCAGCAGUGGGGAAUAUUGCACGAUGGGCGCAAGCCUGAUGCAGCGCCGCCGCGUGGGGGAUGGAGGCCUUCGGGUUGUGAACCUCUUUCGCCAGUGAAGCAGGCCUGCCUCGUUUGUGGGUGGGUUGACGGUAGCUGGAUAAGAAGCGCCGGCUAACUACGUG